AUGGCCAUCCAUGGGAACAAUCAGAUUUCUUUUGCGAGAGCAAGAGAGAACCGCUGGCGACAUGCCACGACGACGACUCUUGGUGAGAUGGGCAAGGAUUCAUACGCUGAUUGCGUCCACCACAAUGGCAGAUUCUACACGGUGACGAUGCAUGGGGCGGUCGAGGCAUGGGAUCUUGACAAAGGGCCGACGCAUCAACCAGGCAAACAGGCGAUCAUCGCCGACGGGGACGGAAGACAGCGGAGGAUUCUCACCCGGUUCCUGGUGUCCACCCCCUGGGGUGGUCUCCUGGAGAUACGAACCCAGCGGCGCUCCGAUCAUCCCAGGAGGGUCAAUGUUGAGGCGUUUGAGGUCGAUGUCGAGGAGCGCAGGCUCGUCAGGCUGAGCUCUGCCACGGCCUUCCGGGAGCACGCGGUGUUCGUCGGGUUGAAUGAGUCCGUAUGCUUGGUUGCCAAAGAGUGUCCGGGGCUAAGGCCCAACCAUGUCUACUUUGCCACGCCUUGGCUGACGCAUGAAGAAAAUUUUGGUGUCCAGGGCUGGAAAGGGGUGGUGAUUUAUGACUUGGAAAGCCAGACGUUCGAGCAAGUUCUUCAUGCAUCUAAGUAUUCUGUAUUUUGUCCCCAGCAGGUUUGGUUCAUUCCAAAUAUCUGA
rnacentral:rRNA from 1 species